UACGAAGGGGGCUAGCGUUGUUCGGAAUUACUGGGCGUAAAGCGCACGUAGGCGGAUAUUUAAGUCAGAGGUGAAAUCCCGGAGCUUAACUUCGGAACUGCCUUUGAUACUGGGUGUCUUGAGUGUGAGAGAGGUAUGUGGAACUCCGAGUGUAGAGGUGAAAUUCGUAGAUAUUCGGAAGAACACCAGUGGCGAAGGCGACAUACUGGCUCAUUACUGACGCUGAGGCUCGAAAGCGUGGGGAGCAAACAGG
rnacentral:rRNA from 1 species